AACCUCCGCAAUGUGAGAAAUCGCGACGGGGGGAUCCCAAGUGCCAUUCUUAACGGGAUGGCUUUUCAUUAGUGUAAAGAGCUUUUGGAAUAAGAGCUGGGCAAGACCGGUGCCAGCCGCCGCGGUAACACCGGCAGCUCUAGUGGUAACAAUUUUUAUUGGGCCUAAAGCGUCCGUAGCCGGUUUAAUAAGUCUCUGGUGAAAUCCUGUAGCUUAACUGUGGGAAUUGCUGGAGAUACUAUUAGACUUGAGACCGGGAGAGGUUAGAGGUACUCCCAGGGUAGAGGUGAAAUUCUGUAAUCCUGGGAGGACCGCCUGUUGCGAAGGCGUCUAACUGGAACGGUUCUGACGGUGAGGGACGAAAGUUAGGGGCGCGAACCGGAUUAGAUACCCGGGUAGUCCUAACUGUAACGAUGCGGACUUGGUGUUGGGGUGGCUUUGAGCUGCUCCAGUGCCGAAGGGAAGCUGUUAAGUCCGCCGCCUGGGAAGUACGGUCGCAAGACUGAAACUUAAAGGAAUU
rnacentral:rRNA from 1 species